rnacentral:rRNA from 1 species
UACGGGGGGGGCAAGCGUUGUUCGGAAUUACUGGGCGUAAAGGGCGCGUAGGCGGUUUGCUAAGUUGGAUGUGAAAACUCUGGGCUUAACCCAGAGCCUGCAUUCAAUACUGGCAGGCUAGAGUUCUGGAGGGGAUAGCGGAAUUCCUGGUGUAGCGGUGAAAUGCGUAGAUAUCAGGAGGAACACCGGUGGCGAAGGCGGCUAUCUGGACAGAGUCUGACGCUGAGGCGCGAAAGCUAGGGGAGCAAACAGG